rnacentral:rRNA from 1 species
UACGUAGGUGACCAGCGUUGUCCGGAUUUACUGGGCGUAAAGAGCGCGCAGGCGGUCGUUCAAGUCGAGUGUGAAAGCCCCCGGCUCAACUGGGGAGGGUCAUUCGAUACUGAUCGACUGGAAGGCAGGAGAGGGAAGCGGAAUUCCGCAUGUAGCAGUGAAAUGCGUAGAUAUGCGGAGGAACACCAAUGGCGAAGGCAAUCUCCUGGACCUGCACUGACGCUCAUGCACGAAAGCGUGGGGAGCAAACAGG